rnacentral:rRNA from 1 species
UGGGGAAUUUUGGACAAUGGGCGAAAGCCUGAUCCAGCCAUGCCGCGUGAGUGAAGAAGGCCUUCGGGUUGUAAAGCUCUUUCAGGUGGAAAGAAAACGCAUAGGUUAAUACCUUGUGCGGAUGACGGUACCAUCAGAAGAAGCACCGGCUAACUCUGUGCCAGCAGCCGCGGUAAUACAGAGGGUGCAAGCGUUAAUCGGAAUUACUGGGCGUAAAGCGCGCGUAGGUGGUUAGUUAAGUUGGAUGUGAAAUCCCCGGGCUCAACCUGGGAACUGCGUUUGUGACUGCAUAACUAGAGUACGGCAGAGGGAGGAGGAAUUCCGCGUGUAGCAGUGAAAUGCGUAGAUAUGCGGAGGAACACCGAUGGCGAAGGCAGCCUCCUGGGCCAGUACUGACGCUCAUGCACGAAAGCGUGGGGAGCAAACA